rnacentral:rRNA from 1 species
GCAGUAAGGAAUAUUGGUCAAUGGAGGCAACUCUGAACCAGCCAUGCCGCGUGCAGGAAGACAGCCCUAUGGGUCGUAAACUGCUUUUAUCCGGGAAUAAACCUCAGGUCGUGACCUGAGCUGAAUGUACUGGAAGAAUAAGGAUCGGCUAACUCCGUGCCAGCAGCCGCGGUAAUACGGAGGAUCCAAGCGUUAUCCGGAUUUAUUGGGUUUAAAGGGUGCGUAGGCGGCCUGUUAAGUCAGAGGUGAAAGACGGUAGCUCAACUAUCGCAGUGCCUUUGAUACUGAUGGGCUUGAAUAAACUAGAGGUAGGCGGAAUGAGACAAGUAGCGGUGAAAUGCAUAGAUAUGUCUCAGAACACCGAUUGCGAAGGCAGCUUACUAUGGUUUUAUUGACGCUGAGGCACGAAAGCGUGGGGAUCAAACAGGAUUAGA